rnacentral:pre_miRNA from 1 species
AUUAUACCUAUGUCUAUAUAUUUAUAAUUAUGUGCCUGGCUCCCUGUAUGCCAUUUGCAGAGUCAAUCGAAACAUCGAUGGCCUCCGUGGAUGGCGUAUGAGGAGCCAUGCAUAUUCCAUGUAUAAUAUAUACCCAUAGAUAU